ACACGGAGGCUCCGAGCGUUAUCCGGAUUUAUUGGGCUUAAAGGGUGCGCAGGCGGGAGAUUAAGCCGGCCGAGCAAUUUUGCUGCCCUCAUGUUCAACAUCCUUCGCAACUGGUUUCCUUGUGCGUGGAUGGCGUAGGCGGAAUCUGCGGUGUACCGGUGCAAUGCAUAGAUAUCAAGAGGAACUCCGACUGCGCAGGCAGCUUACUAAACUACUACUGACGCUCAGGCACGAAGGCGUGGGGAUCAAACAGGAUUAGAUGCCCUGGUAGUCCACGCAGUAAACGAUGAUUACUAGCUGUUUGCGAUACAAUGUAAGCGGCUGAGCGAAAGCGUUAAGUAAUCCACCUGGGGAGUACGUUCGCAAGAAUGAAACUCAAAUGAAUUGACGGGG
rnacentral:rRNA from 1 species